UACAGAGGGGGCAAGCGUUGUCCGGAUUUACUGGGCGUAAAGAGCGCGCAGGCGGUCGUUCAAGUCGAGUGUGAAAGCCCCCGGCUCAACUGGGGAGGGUCACUCGAUACUGAUCGACUUGAAGGCAGGAGAGGGAAGCGGAAUUCCCGGUGUAGUGGUGAAAUGCGUAGAUAUCGGGAGGAACACCAGUGGCGAAGGCGGCUUCCUGGCCUGUUCUUGACGCUGAGGCGCGAAAGCUAGGGGAGCAAACGGG
rnacentral:rRNA from 1 species